rnacentral:rRNA from 1 species
UACAGAGGUCCCAAGCGUUGUUCGGAUUCAUUGGGCGUAAAGGGUGCGUAGGUGGCGCGCUAAGUCGGGUGUGAAAUUUCGGAGCUUAACUCCGAAACUGCAUUCGAUACUGGUGUGCUUGAGGACUGGAGAGGAGACUGGAAUUCAUGGUGUAGCAGUGAAAUGCGUAGAGAUCAUGAGGAAGACCAGUGGCGAAGGCGGGUCUCUGGACAGUUCCUGACACUGAGACACGAAGGCCAGGGGAGCAAACGGG